rnacentral:rRNA from 1 species
UGGGGAAUCUUGCGCAAUGGGCGAAAGCCUGACGCAGCGACGCCGCGUGCGGGAGGAAGCUCUUCGGGGUGUAAACCGCUGUCAGAGGGGAAGAACUGUCACACGAGGAAAUGCGUGUGACUUGACGGUACCCUCAGAGGAAGCACCGGCUAACUCUGUGCCAGCAGCCGCGGUAAUACAGAGGGUGCGAGCGUUGUUCGGAAUUACUGGGCGUAAAGCGCGCGCAGGCGGCCACUUAAGUCCGUAGGUGAAAGACCGGGGCUCAACCCCGUGUCAGCCAUGGAUACUGGGCGGCUGGAGACAGGUAGAGGCAAGCGGAAUUCCGGGUGUAGCGGUGGAAUGCGUAGAUAUCCGGAAGAACACCGGAGGCGAAGGCGGCUUGCUGGACCUGGUCUGACGCUGAGGCGCGAAAGCGUGGGGAGCGAACAG